GCCCAGGCGCGAAACCUCUGCAAUAGGCGAAAGCUUGACAGGGUUACUCUGAGUGACGUCCGUUAAGGACGUCUUUUGGCACCUCUAAAAAUGGUGCAGAAUAAGGGGUGGGCAAGUCUGGUGUCAGCCGCCGCGGUAAUACCAGCACCCCGAGUGGUCGGGACGAUUAUUGGGCCUAAAGCAUCCGUAGCCGGUUCUGCAAGUCUUCCGUUAAAUCCACCUGCUCAACAGAUGGGCCGCGGAGGAUACUACAGGGCUAGGAGGCGGGAGAGGCAAGCGGUACUCAGUGGGUAGGGGUAAAAUCCUCUGAUCCACUGAAGACCACCAGUGGCGAAGGCGGCUUGCCAGAACGCGCUCGACGGUGAGGGAUGAAAGCUGGGGGAGCAAACCGGAUUAGAUACCCGGGUAGUCCCAGCUGUAAACGAUGCAGACUCGGUNGAUGGGUUGGCUUCGAGCCAACCCAGUGCCGCAGGGAAGCCGUUAAGUCUGCCGCCUGGGGAGUACGGUCGCAAGACUGAAACUUAAAGGAAUUGGCGGGGGAACAC
rnacentral:rRNA from 1 species